AUGAAGAACGUAGCGAAAUGCGAUAAGUAAUGUGAAUUGCAGAAUUCAGUGAAUCAUCGAAUCUUUGAACGCACCUUGCGCCCUUUGGCUAUUCCGAAGGGCAUGCCUGUUUGAGUAUCAUGAACACCUCAACUCUCAUGGUUUGCCAUGAUGAGCUUGGACUUUGGGGGUCUUGCCGGCCUAUGGGUCGGCUCCUCUCAAAUUAAUCAGCUUGCCAGUGUUUGGUGGCAUCACAGGUGUGAUAACUAUCUACGCUUGUGGUUUUCCAUCAGGUAACCUUCAGUGAUGGAGGUUCGCUGGGGCUCAUAAAUGUCUCUCCUCAGUGAGGACAGCUUUUUUGAACGUUUGAUCUCAAAUCAGGUAGGACUACCCGCUGAACUUAAGCAUAUCAAUAAGCGGAGGA
rnacentral:misc_RNA from 1 species